GAUGAACGCUGGCGGCGUGCCUAAUACAUGCAAGUCGAACGCUGGAAAUCUAGCUUGCUAGAUUGAAGGAGUGGCGAACGGGUGAGUAAUACAUAAGCAACCUACCCACGAAGACUGGGAUAAUCUCUGGAAACGGGGACUAAUACCGGAUAGGUAAUCGGAAGGCAUCUUCUGAUUAUUAAAGGUUAAAAACACUGGUGGAUGGGCUUAUGGCGCAUUAGUUAGUUGGUGAGGUAACGGCCCACCAAGACGAUGAUGCGUAGCCGGCCUGAGAGGGUGAAUGGCCACAUUGGGACUGAGACACGGCCCAGACUCCUACGGGAGGCAGCAGUAGGGAAUUUUCGGCAAUGGGGGAAACCCUGACCGAGCAACGCCGCGUGAGUGAUGACGGCCUUCGGGUUGUAAAGCUCUGUUGUAAGGGAAGAACGGUAGAUAGAGAAUAUCUAAAUGACGGUACCUUACCAGAAAGCCACGGCUAACUACGUG
rnacentral:rRNA from 1 species